AAACCUAAGAGUUUGAUCCUGGCUCAGAAUGAACGCUGGCGGCAUGCCUAACACAUGCAAGUCGAACGAGAUCUUCGGAUCUAGUGGCGCACGGGUGAGUAACGCGUGGGAACCUACCUUUUAGUACGGGA
rnacentral:rRNA from 1 species